GUUAUCUUACUGAGAUAUUUUUGUAGUUGUCUUUUAACAGCUUCCUUAGAAGUGUCUCCCAAAUUUCUCACAAUACCAAAACAAAAAUUUCUUUCUUCAUCUUAUCCAAAAAGGUCAAAAAGAGUUUCCCUUAAUGACACGGUUCGGGACUCACCUGUGGACGUGGAUGUCCUGUGACCAGACAGGAUCAUGAAUGUUGCAGAAUUUGGAUAAACUUGGUGAUUCUAUGGAGGAAAUAAAAUGAAUAUAAAGUACAGGCUAUGGGAAAACUGGAAAAAUCUGCAUCCUAUAGAGAAGAAAUAGAGAUUCAGAAAAGUAAAAGAACCUGCCCAGGGUCACAGAGCUGAGAAAUCAUUAAUUUUGUUUCACCGAGGACAUUUUUAUCAGUCAAGGUCCUGUCAGGAAUCGUAUGCCGCUCUCAAAAAGCAUGAUUAAAGAUGUAUUAAUGAAGAGACUGUUUACCAAGGAAAGGCCAAAGAUAAGGAAAAAGCAAGGAAGUAAAAGAGUGGGACUAGUGAAAGUGGGAAGCCAAUCCCUAACCGGGGUCUGAAGAUACAAGGAUAUCUACACCUGGCUAGACCAGUGGCCAGACAGGGCACCAGAACAAGGGCCAUUGUUAAGGCAGAGGA